UACGUAGGGGGCAAGCGUUGUCCGGAAUCAUUGGGCGUAAAGCGCGUGUAGGCGGCCCGGUAAGUCCGCUGUGAAAGUCGGGGGCUCAACCCUCGAAUGCCGGUGGAUACUGUCGGGCUAGAGUGCGGAAGAGGCGAGUGGAAUCCUGGUGUAGCGGUGAAAUGCGUAGAGAUCAGGAAGAACACCGGUGGCGAAGGCGCUCUGCUAGGCCGCAACUGACACUGAGGGACGAAAGCUAGGGGAGCAAACGGG
rnacentral:rRNA from 1 species